GACGAACGCUGGCGGCGUGCCUAAUACAUGCAAGUCGAACGAGAGCGACCGGUGCUUGCACUGGUCAAUCUAGUGGCGAACGGGUGAGUAACACGUGGGUAACCUGCUCAUCAGAGGGGGAUAACAUCCGGAAACGGAUGCUAAAACCGCAUAGGUCUUCGAGCCGCAUGGCUUGAAGAGGAAAAGAGGCGCAAGCUUCUGCUGAUGGAUGGACCCGCGGUGCAUUAGCUAGUUGGUGAGGUAACGGCUCACCAAGGCCGUGAUGCAUAGCCGACCUGAGAGGGUGAUCGGCCACAUUGGGACUGAGACACGGCCCAAACUCCUACGGGAGGCAGCAGUAGGGAAUCUUCCGCAAUGGACGCGAGUCUGACGGAGCAACGCCGCGUGAGUGAAGAAGGUUUUCGGAUCGUAAAACUCUGUUGUUAGAGAAGAACAAGUGCUAGAGUAACUGUUAGCGCCUUGACGGUAUCUAACCAGAAAGCCACGGCUAACUACGUG
rnacentral:rRNA from 1 species